AUUGAACGCUGGCGGCAUGCCUUACACAUGCAAGUCGAACGGCAGCACGGGUGCUUGCCCCUGGUGGCGAGUGGCGAACGGGUGAGUAAUACAUCGGAACAUGUCCUGUAGUGGGGGAUAGCCCGGCGAAAGCCGGAUUAAUACCGCAUACGAUCUACGGCUGAAAGCGGGGGACCUUCGGGCCUCGCGCUAUCGGGUUGGCCGAUGGCUGAUUAGCUAGUUGGUGGGGUAAAGGCCUACCAAGGCGACGAUCAGUAGCUGGUCUGAGAGGACGACCAGCCACACUGGGACUGAGACACGGCCCAGACUCCUACGGGAGGCAGCAGUGGGGAAUUUUGGACAAUGGGCGAAAGCCUGAUCCAGCAAUGCCGCGUGUGUGAAGAAGGCCUUCGGGUUGUAAAGCACUUUUGUCCGGAAAGAAAUCCUUGGCCCUAAUACGGUCGGGGGAUGACGGUACCGGAAGAAUAAGCACCGGCUAACUACGUG
rnacentral:rRNA from 1 species